AAAGCUCAGUGGGAGAGCAUCUCCUCUGCAUGCAUAAGGUCCUUGGUUUGAUUCCCAGCAUCUCUA